GUUUUAAUAAUUUAAUCAAAAUAUUGGUCUUGUAAACCAAAAAUAAGUAAUCUUUUAAAACU
rnacentral:tRNA from 3 species